GACGAACGCUGGCGGCGCGCCUAACACAUGCCAGUCGAACGGAGUCAAGAGGAGCUUGCUUUUCUUGACUUAGUGGCGAACGGGUGAGUAACGCGUGAGUAACCUGCCCUGGAGUGGGGGACAACAGUUGGAAACGACUGCUAAUACCGCAUAAGCCCACGGAUCUGCAUGGAUCUGCGGGAAAAGGAUUUAUUCGCUCUAGGAUGGACUCGCGUCCAAUUAGCUAGUUGGUGAGGUAACGGCCCACCAAGGCGACGAUUGGUAGCCGGACUGAGAGGUUGAACGGCCACAUUGGGACUGAGACACGGCCCAGACUCCUACGGGAGGCAGCAGUGGGGGAUAUUGCACAAUGGGGGAAACCCUGAUGCAGCGACGCCGCGUGGAGGAAGAAGGUUUUCGGAUUGUAAACUCCUGUCGUUAGGGACGAUAAUGACGGUACCUAACAAGAAAGCACCAGCUAACUACGUG
rnacentral:rRNA from 1 species